CGUACGUUUACCUACUGAGGCAGAAAUUAAUUUUUUUUUGAAAAAUUUGUUUUCAAUGUAACAUUAACACCGCAUAAUUUUCGGGUAUUCGUACGUAUACAUUUACUCAAUAAGGCAGAAAUAAUUUUUUUGUGAAAAAUAUGGUUUUAUUGGAAUAUAUACUGCAUAAUUUUCGUGUAUACCUACUAAUCGCUAUUCGUACAUAGGUACUUAAUGAGGUCAAAAUUAAUUUUUUUUUAAACACUUGUUUUCAUUGUAAAGUAACAUUAAAGCUGCAUAAUUUUCGUGCGAUUGGUUAAAAACUUAAUGUUAAAGCAUAAUGUGUUGGUAUAUUGUUCAAACGAAAUUGACUAUGUAUCUGGUUCAAAGAUUGAUUUCUAAGGAAUGUGGACCUAGUACUUGCAAAAGUGAAUAGCUGAAGCUCCCUGACACAAGAUACAUACUAUGGAUCUCAAAUUGUGAAAGUUGCUGUAAAAAUUCACCGUUUAGUGAUAAUUCCCGUAAAAAAGUGAUCACGAGUAGAGUGGAUCGAAUUUAUUACUCGACAAAGACCAGUCACAAUUUGUUGUUUGUUAUUACAUCCAUGAUUAUGACUCCAGUGAUUUGUUAUGAUUUCCUGGAAAAAACAGAGACCUAUGGGAAUAAUGCAAGUAUUUGAUUUCGUUUAGAUUAUUUUUUACAAUUAUUAUUAUUUUUCAUUUUUAUCAAUUUUUUUUUCAAUUAAGAAAUAAACAUUAGACCACUUUUC